rnacentral:tRNA from 1 species
GGCAGGGUAAAGCAAUGGCGGCUUACGUGGCUCAUAACCACGGUGUUGGAGGUUCGAAUCCUCCCCCUGCCC